rnacentral:tRNA from 1 species
GUGCUAUAGCUCAGUUGGUUAGAGCGCUGCCCUGUCACGGCAGAGGUCGCGAGUUCGAGUCUCGUUAGCAC